rnacentral:rRNA from 1 species
CGCGGUAAUACCAGCUCUCCGAGUAGUAGGGACGAUUAUUGGGCUUAAAGCGUCCGUAGCCGGCUUAGCAAGUCUCCUGUUAAAUUCAGCGACCUAAUCGUUGAGCCGCGGGAGAUACUACUAGGCUAGGAGGCGGGAGAGGCCGACGGUAUUCCCGGGGUAGGGGUGAAAUCCUAUAAUCCCGGGAGGACCACCAGUGGCGAAGGCUGUCGGCUAGAACGCGCUCGACGGUGAGGGACGAAAGCUGGGGGAGCGAACCGGAUUAGAUACCCGGGUAGUCCCAGCUGUAAACGAUGCGGGCUAGGUGUUGAGGUGGCUACGAGCCACUUCAGUGCCGCAGGGAAGCCAUUAAGCCCGCCGCCUGGGGAGUACGGCCGCA